rnacentral:rRNA from 1 species
GUAGGGAAUAUUGGACAAUGGGGGCAACCCUGAUCCAGCGACGCCGCGUGAGUGAUGAAGACCUUCGGGUCGUAAAGCUCUGUUGCAGGGGAAGAACACAAUGACGGUACCCUGCUAGAAAGGAUCGGCUAACUUCGUGCCAGCAGCCGCGGUAAGACGAGGGAUCCUAGCGUUGUUCGGAAUUAUUGGGCGUAAAGCGGGUGCAGGUGGCUUGGUAAGUCAGAUGUGAAAGCCCAGGGCUCAACCCUGGAAGUGCAUUUGAUACUACUGAGCUUGAGUGUCGGAGAGGUUACCGGAAUACCUGGUGUAGUGGUGAAAUACGUAGAUAUCAGGUGGAACACCGGAGGCGAAGGCGGGUAACUGGACGAACACUGACACUGAGGCCCGAAAGCGUGGGGAUCAAACAGGAUUAGAAACCCUGGUAGUCC